rfam:Capsicum annuum cultivar Zunla-1 chromosome 5, whole genome shotgun sequence
CCAGUUACUGAUGACAAUCUGAUUUUGUAUAUUUUAGGUGGUCUAGGACCUUAUUACGAUGCACUUGUUGUGUCUGCCACAUCUGGGUCCGAGCAGAUCACCUUGGUGGAUCUCUAUGACUUGUUGCUUAGUCAUGAAU